GCCAUGAAAGUGCUGUCCAAGAAACGACUGAUGAGGCAGGCUGGGUUCCCGCGCAGACCUCCUCCUCGUGGGGCAAAAUUGGCCCCUGAGGGCCUCCCUCAGCUCAAAGGGCCUCUGGAGCGUGUUUACCAGGAGAUAGCCAUCCUUAAGAAGCUUGAUCACCCUAAUGUGGUUAAGCUUGUGGAGGUGCUGGAUGAUCCAA